UUAAGCGACUAAGCGUACACGGUGGAUGCCCUGGCAGUCAGAGGCGAUGAAGGACGUGCUAAUCUGCGAAAAGCGUCGGUAAGGUGAUAUGAACCGUUAUAACCGGCGAUGUCCGAAUGGGGAAACCCAGUGCAAUUCGUUGCACUAUCGUUAACUGAAUACAUAGGUUAACGAGGCGAACCGGGGGAACUGAAACAUCUAAGUACCCCGAGGAAAAGAAAUCAACCGAGAUUCCCCCAGUAGCGGCGAGCGAACGGGGAGCAGCCCAGAGUCUGAAUCAGCUUGUGUGUUAGUGGAACGGUCUGGAAAGUCCGACGGUACAGGGUGAUAGUCCCGUACACCAAAAUGCACAGGCUGUGAACUCGAAGAGUAGGGCGGGACACGUGGUAUCCUGUCUGAAUAUGGGGGGACCAUCCUCCAAGGCUAAAUACUCCUGACUGACCGAUAGUGAACCAGUACCGUGAGGGAAAGGCGAAAAGAACCCCGGCGAGGGGAGUGAAAAAGAACCUGAAACCGUGUACGUACAAGCAGUGGGAGCACCUUCGGGUGUGACUGCGUACCUUUUGUAUAAUGGGUCAGCGACUUAUAUUCUGUAGCAAGGUUAACCGUAUAGGGGAGCCGCAGGGAAACCGAGUCUUAACUGGGCGUUAAGUUGCAGGGUAUAGACCCGAAACCCGGUGAUCUAGCCAUGGGCAGGUUGAAGGUUGGGUAACACUAACUGGAGGACCGAACCGACUAAUGUUGAAAAAUUAGCGGAUGACUUGUGGCUGGGGGUGAAAGGCCAAUCAAACCGGGAGAUAGCUGGUUCUCCCCGAAAGCUAUUUAGGUAGCGCCUCGUGAAUUCAUCUUCGGGGGUAGAGCACUGUUUCGGCUAGGGGGUCAUCCCGACUUACCAACCCGAUGCAAACUACGAAUACCGAAGAAUGUUAUCACGGGAGACACACGGCGGGUGCUAACGUCCGUCGUGAAGAGGGAAACAACCCAGACCGCCAGCUAAGGUCCCAAAGUCAUGGUUAAGUGGGAAACGAUGUGGGAAGGCACAGACAGCCAGGAUGUUGGCUUAGAAGCAGCCAUCAUUUAAAGAAAGCGUAAUAGCUCACUGGUCGAGUCGGCCUGCGCGGAAGAUGUAACGGGGCUAAACCAUGCACCGAAGCUGCGGCAGCGACACUAUGUGUUGUUGGGUAGGGGAGCGUUCUGUAAGCCUGCGAAGGUGACCUGUGAGGGUUGCUGGAGGUAUCAGAAGUGCGAAUGCUGACAUAAGUAACGAUAAAGCGGGUGAAAAGCCCGCUCGCCGGAAGACCAAGGGUUCCUGUCCAACGUUAAUCGGGGCAGGGUGAGUCGACCCCUAAGGCGAGGCCGAAAGGCGUAGUCGAUGGGAAACAGGUUAAUAUUCCCUGUACUUGGUGUUACUGCGAAGGGGGGACGGAGAAGGCUAUGUUAGCCGGGCGACGGUUGUCCCGGUUUAAGCAUGUAGGCUGGUUAUCCAGGCAAAUCCGGAUAAUCAAGGCUGAGGUGUGAUGACGAGGCACUACGGUGCUGAAGUAACAAAUGCCCUGCUUCCAGGAAAAGCCUCUAAGCAUCAGGUAACAUUAAAUCGUACCCCAAACCGACACAGGUGGUCAGGUAGAGAAUACCAAGGCGCUUGAGAGAACUCGGGUGAAGGAACUAGGCAAAAUGGUGCCGUAACUUCGGGAGAAGGCACGCUGGUGUGUAGGUGAAGUCCCUGCGGAUGGAGCUGAGACCAGUCGAAGAUACCAGCUGGCUGCAACUGUUUAUUAAAAACACAGCACUGUGCAAACACGAAAGUGGACGUAUACGGUGUGACGCCUGCCCGGUGCCGGAAGGUUAAUUGAUGGGGUUAUCCGUAAGGAGAAGCUCUUGAUCGAAGCCCCGGUAAACGGCGGCCGUAACUAUAACGGUCCUAAGGUAGCGAAAUUCCUUGUCGGGUAAGUUCCGACCUGCACGAAUGGCGUAAUGAUGGCCAGGCUGUCUCCACCCGAGACUCAGUGAAAUUGAACUCGCUGUGAAGAUGCAGUGUACCCGCGGCAAGACGGAAAGACCCCGUGAACCUUUACUAUAGCUUGACACUGAACAUUGAGCCUUGAUGUGUAGGAUAGGUGGGAGGCUUUGAAGCGUGGACGCCAGUCUGCGUGGAGCCAACCUUGAAAUACCACCCUUUAAUGUUUGAUGUUCUAACGUUGGCCCCUGACCGGGGUUGCGGACAGUGUCUGGUGGGUAGUUUGACUGGGGCGGUCUCCUCCCAAAGCGUAACGGAGGAGCACGAAGGUUAGCUAAUCCUGGUCGGACAUCAGGAGGUUAGUGCAAUGGCAUAAGCUAGCUUGACUGCGAGCGUGACGGCGCGAGCAGGUGCGAAAGCAGGUCAUAGUGAUCCGGUGGUUCUGAAUGGAAGGGCCAUCGCUCAACGGAUAAAAGGUACUCCGGGGAUAACAGGCUGAUACCGCCCAAGAGUUCAUAUCGACGGCGGUGUUUGGCACCUCGAUGUCGGCUCAUCACAUCCUGGGGCUGAAGUAGGUCCCAAGGGUAUGGCUGUUCGCCAUUUAAAGUGGUACGCGAGCUGGGUUUAGAACGUCGUGAGACAGUUCGGUCCCUAUCUGCCGUGGGCGCUGGAGAAUUGAGGGGGGCUGCUCCUAGUACGAGAGGACCGGAGUGGACGCAUCACUGGUGUUCGGGUUGUCAUGCCAAUGGCACUGCCCGGUAGCUAAAUGCGGAAGAGAUAAGUGCUGAAAGCAUCUAAGCACGAAACUUGCCCCGAGAUGAGUUCUCCCUGAGACUAUAAGUCUCCUGAAGGAACGUUAAAGACGAUGACGUUGAUAGGCCGGGUGUGUAAGCGCAGCGAUGCGUUGAGCUAACCGGUACUAAUGAACCGUGAGGCUUAACCUU
rnacentral:rRNA from 1 species